GUUCGAGCUAAGCUGGUGUGACUUAGGGAAGAACAUGGUGAAGAGAUCGCCCCAUUGAAGACUCACAGCUGGAUAUUUGUGUGCCACUAGGCAGCACAUGCAUUCAUUUAACUUGAAGGAACUUUUGUCUGGGAAGAUAAAGAAUCACAGAAAUAAAGCUGCAGUUUCCAAGGUUGCAGGAGACAUCCAACCCUCAGCAACAUUCCAGAGAGAGAGGAAGCUCUGGCAAGUCAGCAUCUCAGCUCCGGGAAGCACUAUGAAAUGUCCAUAAAGUCUUCACAUAUGAAGGCUGCGCCAUGUCCACCCCAGGACAGUUGAUUCUACAAAACACCAGAAGGUUGAUUUGCACUGGGCCAUAAUCCGAAGCAAUUUCCUAAUC
rnacentral:lncRNA from 1 species